CCUCCAGGUGGCUUCCUGUUUGAAGGGCUCUCUGAUGAUGAGGAUGACUUUCACCCAAGCGCCAGGUCCACGCCCUCGAGCAGCACACCCAGCUCCCGCCCAGCUUCGCUGGGGUACAGUGGAGCUGCGGGGCCCCGGCCUAUCACCCAGAGCGAGCUGGCCACCGCCCUGGCCCUGGCCAGCACUCCGGAGAGCAGCUCUCACACGCCAACUCCUGGCACCCAGGGCCAUUCCUCAGGGACCUCCCCAGUGUCAUCUGGCGUCCAGUCAGGGACGCCCAUCACCAAUGAUCUCUUCAGCCAAGCUCUACAGCAUGCGCUGCAGGCCUCCGGGCAGCCCAGC